rnacentral:rRNA from 1 species
GACGAACGCUGGCGGCGUGCUUAACACAUGCAAGUCGAACGGAAAGGCCCUGCUUUUGUGGGGUGCUCGAGUGGCGAACGGGUGAGUAACACGUGAGUAACCUGCCCUUGACUUUGGGAUAACUUCAGGAAACUGGGGCUAAUACCGGAUAGGAGCUCCUGCUGCAUGGUGGGGGUUGGAAAGUUUCGGCGGUUGGGGAUGGACUCGCGGCUUAUCAGCUUGUUGGUGGGGUAGUGGCUUACCAAGGCUUUGACGGGUAGCCGGCCUGAGAGGGUGACCGGCCACAUUGGGACUGAGAUACGGCCCAGACUCCUACGGGAGGCAGCAGUGGGGAAUAUUGCACAAUGGGCGGAAGCCUGAUGCAGCAACGCCGCGUGCGGGAUGACGGCCUUCGGGUUGUAAACCGCUUUCGCCUGUGACGAAGCGUGAGUGACGGUAAUGGGUAAAGAAGCACCGGCUAACUACGUGCCAGCAGCCGCGGUGAUACGUAGGGUGCGAGCGUUGUCCGGAUUUAUUGGGCGUAAAGGGCUCGUAGGUGGUUGAUCGCGUCGGAAGUGUAAUCUUGGGGCUUAACCCUGAGCGUGCUUUCGAUACGGGUUGACUUGAGGAAGGUAGGGGAGAAUGGAAUUCCUGGUGGAGCGGUGGAAUGCGCAGAUAUCAGGAGGAACACCAGUGGCGAAGGCGGUUCUCUGGGCCUUUCCUGACGCUGAGGAGCGGAAGCGUGGGGAGCGAACAGGCUUAGAUACCCUGGUAGUCCACGCUGUAAACGGUGGGUACUAGGUGUGGGGUCCAUUCCACGGGUUCCGUGCCGUAGCUAACGCUUUAAGUACCCCGCCUGGGGAGUACGGCCGCAAGGCUAAAACUCAAAGGAAUUGACGGGGCCCCGCACAAGCGGCGGAGCAUGCGGAUUAAUUCGAUGCAACGCGUAGAACCUUACCUGGGUUUGACAUGGAUCGGGAGUGCUCAGAGAUGGGUGUGCCUCUUUUGGGGUCGGUUCACAGGUGGUGCAUGGCUGUCGUCAGCUCGUGUCGUGAGAUGUUGGGUUAAGUCCCGCAACGAGCGCAACCCUUGUUCACUGUUGCCAGCACGUUAUGGUGGGGACUCAGUGGAGACCGCCGGGGUCAACUCGGAGGAAGGUGGGGAUGACGUCAAGUCACCAUGCCCCUUAUGUCCAGGGCUUCACGCAUGCUACAAUGGCUGGUACAGAGAGUGGCGAGCCUGUGAGGGUGAGCGAAUCUCGGAAAGCCGGUCUCAGUUCGGAUUGGGGUCUGCAACUCGACCUCAUGAAGUCGGAGUCGCUAGUAAACGCAGAUCAGCAACGCUGCGGUGAAUACGUUCCCGGG